GGCAGGUAGCCUAGUGGUUAGAGGAGGCAGGUAGUCUAGUAGUUAGAGGAGGCUGGUAUCCUGGUGGUUAGAGGAGGCAGGUAGCCUAGUGGUUAGAGGAGGCAGGGGGCCUGGUGGUUAGAGGAGGCAGGUAGCCUGGUGGUUAGAGGAGGCUGGUAUCCUGGUGGUUAGAGGAGGCAGGUAGCCUAGUGGUUAGAGGAGGCAGGUAGCCUGGUGGUUAGAGGAGGCAGGUAGCCUGGUGGUUAGAGGGGGCAGGUAGCCUAGUGGUUAGAGGAGGCAGGUAGCCUAGUGGUUAGAGGAGGCAGGUAGCCUAGUGGUUAGAGGAGGCAGGUAGCCUAGUGGUUAGAGGAGGCAGGUAGCCUAGUGGUUAGAGGAGGCAGGUAGCCUAGUGGUUAGAGGAGGCAGGUAGCCUAGUGGUUAGAGGAGGCAGGUAGCCUAGUGGUUAGAGGAGGCAGGUAGCCUGGUGGUUAGAGGAGGCAGGUAGCCUAGUGGUUAGAGGAGGCAGGUAGCUUGGUGGUUAGAGGAGGCAUGUAG
ensembl:lncRNA